rnacentral:rRNA from 1 species
UACGUAGGGUGCAAGCGUUGUCCGGAUUUAUUGGGCGUAAAGAGCUCGUAGGCGGUUUGUCGCGUCGGAUGUGAAAACCCAGGGCUCAACCCUGGGCCUGCAUUCGAUACGGGCAAACUAGUGUAUGGCAGGGGAGACUGGAAUUCCUGGUGUAGCGGUGAAAUGCGCAGAUAUCAGGAGGAACACCGGUGGCGAAGGCGGGUCUCUGGGCCAAAACUGACGCUGAGGAGCGAAAGCGUGGGGAGCGAACAGG